rfam:Gossypium raimondii chromosome 3, whole genome shotgun sequence.
AACAUUGAAAGGACAUUUCCCUAAUACAAGAGGAUCGGGAAGGACAUACUACUGGUGUACCAGUAUCGUGCCCACGAUAAACAUUAAGUAGCCAAGUGCGGAGCAGAUAACUGCUGAAAGCAUCUAAGUAGUAAGCCCACUCCAAGAUGAGUGCU